CAAAAGCGUGGGGAGCAAACAGGAUUAGAUACCCUGGUAGUCCACGCCCUAAACGAUGUCAACUGGUUGUUGGGGAUUCAUUGCCUUGGUACCGAAGCUAACGCGUGAAGUUGACCGCCUGGGGAGUACGGCCGCAAGGUUAAAACUCAAAGGAAUUGACGGGGACCCGCACAAGCGGUGGAUGAUGUGGAUUAAUUCGAUGCAACGCGAAAAACCUUACCUACCCUUGACAUGUCCGGAAUCCUGCUGAGAGGUGGGGGUGCCCGAAAGGGAACCGGAACACAGGUGC
rnacentral:rRNA from 1 species